rnacentral:rRNA from 1 species
GAUGAACGCUGGCGGCGUGCCUAACACAUGCAAGUCGAGCGGCAGCGAGGGGUGCUUGCACCCUGUCGGCGAGCGGCGGACGGCUGAGUAACGCGUGGGAACGUGCCCCAAAGUGAGGAAUAACUGCCCGAAAGGGUAGCUAAUACCGCAUAUUAUCUUCGGAUCAAAGGAUUUAUCCGCUUUGGGAGCGGCUCGCGUCGGAUUAGGUAGUUGGUGAGGUAAUGGCUCACCAAGCCGACGAUCCGUAGCUGGUCUGAGAGGAUGACCAGCCAGACUGGAACUGAGACACGGUCCAGACUCCUACGGGAGGCAGCAGUGAGGGAUCUUCCACAAUGGGCGAAAGGCUGAUGGAGCAACGCCGCGUGCAGGACGAAGGCCGUCGGGUUGUAAACUGCUUUUAUAAGUGAGGAAUAUGACGGUAACUUAUGAAUAAGGAUCGGCUAACUACGUG